GUCCUAGUGCAUGGGUGUUACGCGUGGAAGUGAAGGUUUAUCCUGAUCCCGUGUUUUUGCCAAUUGG
rnacentral:snRNA from 1 species